rnacentral:rRNA from 1 species
UACGUAGGGUGCGAGCGUUGUCCGGAAUUAUUGGGCGUAAAGAGCUUGUAGGCGGUCUGUCGCGUCUGCUGUGAAAAUCCGGGGCUCAACCCCGGACUUGCAGUGGGUACGGGCAGACUAGAGUGUGGUAGGGGGAGACUGGAAUUCCUGGUGUAGCGGUGAAAUGCGCAGAUAUCAGGAGGAACACCGAUGGCGAAGGCAGGUCUCUGGGCCACUACUGACGCU